rnacentral:rRNA from 1 species
UGGGCAACCUGCCCCAGACUCAGGGAUAACCCCCGGGGAAACCGGGGCUAAUACCCGAUACUCCGAUCGAACCACAUGGCUCGAUCGGGAAAGCUCCGACGGUCUGGGAUGGGCCCGCGGCCUAUCAGCUUGUUGGUGGGGUAAUGGCCUACCAAGGCGACGACGGGUAGCCGGCCUGAGAGGGCGACCGGCCACACUGGGACUGAGACACGGCCCAGACUCCUACGGGAA